rnacentral:rRNA from 1 species
CCUACGGAGGCAGCAGUGAGGAAUAUUGGACAAUGGGCGCAAGCCUGAUCCAGCCAUGCCGCGUGCAGGAAGACUGCCCUAUGGGUUGUAAACUGCUUUUAUACAGGAAGAAACACUCCCUCGUGAGGGAGCUUGACGGUACUGUAAGAAUAAGGAUCGGCUAACUCCGUGCCACCAGCCGCGGUAAU